rnacentral:rRNA from 1 species
GAUGAACGCUGGCGGCGUGCCUAAUACAUGCAAGUCGAGCGAACGGACGAGAAGCUUGCUUCUCUGAUGUUAGCGGCGGACGGGUGAGUAACACGUGGAUAACCUACCUAUAAGACUGGGAUAACUUCGGGAAACCGUAGCUAAUACCGGAUAAUAUUUUGAACCGCAUGGUUCAAAGGUGAAAGACGGUCUUGCUGUCACUUAUAGAUGGAUCCGCGCUGCAUUAGCUAGUUGGUAAGGUAACGGCUUACCAAGGCAACGAUGCAUAGCCGACCUGAGAGGGUGGUCGGCCACACUGGAACUGAGACACGUCCCAGACUCCUACGGGAGGCAGCAGUAGGGAAUCUUCCGCGAUGGGCGAAAGCCUGACGGAGCAACGCCGCGUGAGUGAUGAAGGUCUUCGGAUCGUAAAACUCUGUUAUUAGGGAAGAACAUAUGUGUAAGUAACUGUGCACAUCUUGACGGUACCUAAUCAGAAAGCCACGGCUAACUACGUG